CUAAGCAUAUCAAUAAGCGGAGGAAAAGAAACCAACAGGGAUUGCCCCAGUAACGGCGAGUGAAGCGGCAACAGCUCGAAUUUGAAAUCUGGCCCCAGGCCCGAGUUGUAAUUUGCAGAGGAUGCUUUUGGCGCGGUGCCUUCCGAGUUCCCUGGAACGGGACGCCAUAGAGGGUGAGAGCCCCGUACGGUUGGACACCAAGUCUUUGUAAAGCUCCUUCGACGAGUCGAGUAGUUUGGGAAUGCUGCUCAAAAUGGGAGGUAUAUUUCUUCUAAAGCUAAAUAUUGGCCAGAGACCGAUAGCGCACAAGUAGAGUGAUCGAAAGAUGAAAAGCACUUUGAAAAGAGGGUUAAACAGCACGUGAAAUUGUUAAAAGGGAAGCGCUUAUGACCAGACUUGCGCCCGGUGAAUCACCCAGCUCUCGCGGCUGGGGCACUUUGCCGGCUCAGGCCAGCAUCAGCUCGCUGUCGGGGACAAAAGCUUCGGGAACGUAGCUCUCUUCGGGGAGUGUUAUAGCCUGUUGCACAAUACCCUUCGGCGGGCUGAGGUACGCGCUCCGCAAGGAUGCUGGCGUAAUGGUCAUCAGCGACCCGUCUUGAAACACGGACCAAGGAGUCAACCUUAUGUGCGAGUGUUUGGGUGUCAAACCCCUACGCGUAAUGAAAGUGAACGCAGGUGAGAGCUUCGGCGCAUCAUCGACCGAUCCUGAUGUUCUCGGAUGGAUUUGAGUAAGAGCAUAUAGGGUUGGACCCGAAAGAAGGUGAACUAUGCGUGUAUAGGGUGAAGCCAGAGGAAACUCUGGUGGAGGCUCGCAGCGGUUCUGACGUGCAAAUCGAUCGUCAAAUAUGCGCAUGGGGGCGAAAGACUAAUCGAACCUUCUAGUAGCUGGUUUCCGCCGA
rnacentral:rRNA from 1 species